rnacentral:rRNA from 1 species
UACAGGGGGUGCAAACGUUGCUCGGAAUUAUUGGGCGUAAAGAGCUCGUAGGCGGUUCGGUAAGUCAGGUGUGAAAUCUCCACGCUCAACGUGGAGGCGCCACCUGAAACUGCCGUGACUCGAGUCCGGUAGGGGAGUGUGGAAUUCCCGGUGUAGCGGUGAAAUGCGCAGAUAUCGGGAGGAACACCAGUGGCGAAGGCGGCACUCUGGGCCGGUACUGACGCUGAGGAGCGAAAGCGUGGGGAGCAAACAGG